CACAAAUGUAAAUUAGAUUCUCACCUACUGUUGAAUUUGCAGCUUAAACAAAACAAAAUGUAAAACAACCACAGCCUUACAGAGAGACUGGUAAUGAAAUGAUAGCAUGAAGAUUUUGUCGACCUUUUUUAACAAAGCAGGUCAGUGAAUUUCAUUCAGUCUCUCAUCAAUGAAGAGGCUAUACACAAACUCUGUAUGGCUUUCCAGCAGGAAAAAGGGAUUACAAAAGGAGCUAAGUGGUUCUAGUAUGUGAUUCCUGGCAUAUUUUCUAUAUAACAUAGUGCUAGAAACAGACAAACUGACCAAGGAACCUUGCAAGCUGCAAUCUGUGGAAAGAAGGAAAUUAAUUACUUAAGCUUUUGCCGGGUGGUAGCUGCUGCAUGUUUUUUAGUAAGUAACACCCACUGCUUGAGGUACUGAGUAUACAGUAUGGUUUCAGUAUAUGAUGUGGAUACAGAAUUGCAGACAAGACGUUUGGAGAGAUAGAAGCUCUGGCAUAUGGAAAUGCUGGUGGAUAGGAUGGCCUAGAUUUAAUGUUUGUUAUACAUUUCAAUUACUGUCUUUAUGUUCCUGGAAUGAUGCAAAUACUUGCUGUAUUGUAUCUAUUGUCGUUCGUAACUCACAAAAGUGCUUUUAAAUUGUAUUCAUGUAUUAUACUGAUAAUACUAUAUUUAUAUGUGUUAUUGAUAACACCUGAAAAGUGUUAUCUGCAACAAGUAAUACCCUGCCUCUGUUGUUGGAUUUUAAAAAUGUUAUCAGUGUGAAGGUGAAAAGUAAAGGAAGAUUCAUUGAAGGGAGAAAUCUGAUUUUAGACAUCACCCAGAGCAUGAGACACCAUCUGUGUCCAAGAUGCAGGAUCCUGACUUGAUUUCAAGAUGAAAAACAUUUGCACUAUCUUCUUUUGUAGAUGAAUGUGAAAGAUGGAAAGGAACAAAGAAAAAAAAAAAAAAAAGGAGCUAUUAAAAAUAGAGGACUUUUUUUUUGUGUACCAUUAGUAGCUCUUAACCUUAAUUCUGUUUUCCAUGUCUCUUCAUUGUAGGCACUUGUGUAGACUCAGAAGUACACUAAAUUAUCUCUGACAGAAUACUGAUGUGCACAUGGCACUGGCAGUGCCCUCUACAGGCUUUUAUCUGGUAAGUAAAGGGAGCUGUAGCAACCACACUCUGUUCUGAUUAGGUAUUUAUUCUGGUUGAGCUAAUUCUUUCUAAAAAUUUUGCUAGUACAGCAUCAUCUGAACUUCGGAAUUUUCUUGACAAGGCUGCCCAGAAGCAUACACAGCAUUUUAAGUGAACAGCCAUAAAACACUAAGCAAACAAAUUACAGUCUUUUUUCAAGAGCUUGGUUUAUUAUCAGCUUGUAUCUUAACAACCUCACUGCCCUUCGGUUAACAGUUAUUCCAGAUCCCAUCUCUCUUCCUCGUGGGAGAUUCUUUCUGUCUAUACUGAACUGGAUAGGUCUGAAAUAAAUGAGUAUCAAUUCAGUUUUAGUUCUUUGUGGUCAGAGACUACGUAGAAAAAAAUAAUCAGCUUUUCUAUAAGUAUAAGGGCCUUGUAUGUGACUCAGCUAAGUUGUUUGUGAG
ensembl:lncRNA